CACGUAGGGCGCAAGCGUUGUCCGGAAUUAUUGGGCGUAAAGAGCUCGUAGGCGGCCUGUUGCGUCCGCUGUGAAAUCCCGGGGCUCAACCCCGGGCCUGCAGUGGAUACGGGCUGGCUAGAGGCAGGCAGGGGAGAACGGAAUUCCUGGUGUAGCGGUGAAAUGCGCAGAUAUCAGGAGGAACACCGGUGGCGAAGGCGGUUCUCUGGGCCUGUACUGACGCUGAGGAGCGAAAGCGUGGGGAGCGAACAGG
rnacentral:rRNA from 1 species